AUGUGGUAUGCUCCUAUAAUACCACGGUUGAAACGUCUGUUCAGGAACAAAGAGCAUGCCAAGUUGUUGCGAUGGCACAAAGAGGACCGUAAGUCGGACGGGGAGUUGAGACACACCGCAGAUGGAACGCAAUGGAGAAAGAUCGACAGAUGGUUCAAAGAUUUUGCAGCUGACGCAAGGAACAUAAGAUUUGCUCUAAGUACGGAUAGCAUGAAUCCUUUUGGCGAGCAGAGCUCCAGCCAUAGCACCUGGCCCGUGACUCUAUGCAUCUACAACCUUCCUCCUUGGUUGUGCAUGAAGCGGAAGUUCAUUAUGAUGCCAGUGCUCAUCCAAGGUCCGAAGCAACCCGGCAACGACAUCGAUGUGUACCUAAGGCCAUUAGUUGAUGAACUUUUACAGCUGUGGGGUGGUGUCCGUGUGUGGGAUGAGCACAAACAAGAGGAAUUUGACCUACGAGCGUUGCUUUUCGUAACCAUCAACGAUUGGCCUGCUCUUAGUAACCUUUCGGGACUGUCAAAUAAGGGAUACAAUGCAUGA
rnacentral:rRNA from 1 species